rnacentral:rRNA from 1 species
UGCCUUACCAUGCAAGUCGAACGGCAGCACGGGAGCUUGCUCCUGGUGGCGAGUGGCGAACGGGUGAGUAAUAUAUCGGAACGUACCCUAGAGUGGGGGAUAACGCAGCGAGAGUUGCGCUAAUACCGCAUACGAUCUACGGAUGAAAGUGGGGGAUCGCAAGACCUCAUGCUCGUGGAGCGGCCGAUAUCUGAUUAGCUAGUUGGUAGGGUAAAAGCCUACCAAGGCUUCGAUCAGUAGCUGGUCUGAGAGGACGACCAGCCACACUGGAACUGAGACACGGUCCAGACUCCUACGGGAGGCAGCAGUGGGGAAUUUUGGACAAUGGGCGAAAGCCUGAUCCAGCAAUGCCGCGUGAGUGAAGAAGGCCUUCGGGUUGUAAAGCUCUUUUGUCAGGGAAGAAACGGUGGACUCUAAUACGGAUCACUAAUGACGGUACCUGAAGAAUAAGCACCGGCUAACUACGUGCCAGCAGCCGCGGUAAUACGUAGGGUGCAAGCGUUAAUCGGAAUUACUGGGCGUAAAGCGUGCGCAGGCGGUUUGGUAAGACAGAUGUGAAAUCCCUGGGCUCAACCUAGGAAUUGCAUUUGUGACUGCCCGGCUAGAGUGUGUCAGAGGGGGGUAGAAUUCCACGUGUAGCAGUGAAAUGCGUAGAGAUGU